UUGGUUGGUUUUGACUGCAUUUUCUCUUAGUUGUUGCUGUGCUCUUGGAUUCUCCAUUUGGGUGGGUCUACUUGGAUUGCAUUUCUCUGUGCAAUUGGGUCUGUGAUUUUUCUGAUUGGAGCGUGUGAUCUGGGGCUUCUAGUGCCUUUGCUCAGUUAGUAAAGCAGCAGAAGGCACCAUUUGUUCAAGAACACAGUUCAAACAUUUAGGAGCCAUUUGGGGUUGACAGCAAACAGUUGUGGCUUUAGGGGAAGGAGGGGCUGUGGCCUGUUAAAAAGGCUGUCCUGGGUGGGAGAGUCAGUCUUCGUGUUCAAAGACC